rnacentral:lncRNA from 1 species
CUUUCUGAGUUUCUUUAAAAAUAGAAAGGGAGGGGGAGAAAAAUAUUGUUUUGAAGUGGUUGCUUGGAAUUGCUUCUGGUAGGGGCAGAUUGCAAUUACAGAUGUGCUGAAUGCUGCAUCAGCUCUCUUGAUCAAUUCAGUGUUUGUGCUGCUGUCCACAGUAUCUAUUUCAGACAGCUUGAGCCAUAGUGUUCUGCCUGUAAGGCAGAGUGUGAGCAGAGCUUACAGAUGCUGACAGAGCCUUGUGUUUGUGUUCCUUGCUUACAUUUGCUCUGAUUGGUGUAAUGAAGGGACCAAAGGAUUUUAAAGUCAGGGCACUGUCAACGUGCACUUCUUUCUGUAAGUUUUAUGCCUUUCUGUAGACAGAAUGGAAAUUGAAGUUUGAUGUACAUCUUUAUUUGCAGCUAGGCUUUGUAGUCUUUCCUUAUAUUCUGAAAUGGUUAAUAUUGAUCUGAGGGCAUUAUUCCUGUUCUAUUUUUUUCUAUCACAUUUUCUAGGCAUCCAAUUGUUUGACUGGAUUUUUGACCAUUGCUGUGCCUGGACCAGUUUUUUUGUCUACUCAGAAAGAUGCUGUGUGAAAUCAGAGUUGUGCAGCACACACAGCAGGUUCUCAGAAUUCAUGUUGUACCUAUGGCAUAUAUAUAAGGACAGCUUGCGAGUUGCUGGAUCGGCGAUGGAUGUGCUGAGCAUUGUGAGGCUCGUGGUGAAGCCAGUAGGAGCCUUGCCAUGGAUUUUAUGUAAGCAGGCAGAAGUCAGCAGUGAGUGCUUCUCCAAAGUGGCACUGUGUGACACCACGGGGCGGUUUGAUGGGCUUGGGCUGCCUCGCAAGGACAUCCAGAUUGAAUUCUCUUACAAGUGGGGUUAAGGCUUCCUCUUCUCACUUGUUUGUCUCUACAUAGAUUGUGCUCUGAAGCGCUUACGGUCUCCUGUGGCCAUGAGAGCUUCUUGUUUUGUUUUUUCCCCUGUUAUUUUUGAGGCUUUGUUAUAACAUGCUCUUAAGCCCAACUCAUCAAAAC